rnacentral:rRNA from 1 species
AUUGAACGCUGGCGGCAGGCCUAACACAUACAAGUCGAGCGGAUGAAGGUAGCUUGCUACCUGAUUCAGCGGCGGACGGGUGAGUAAUGCCUAGGAAUCUGCCUGGUAGUGGGGGACGACGUUUCGAAAGGAACGCUAAUACCGCAUACGUCCUACGGGAGAAAGUGGGGGACCUUCGGACCUCACGCUAUCAGAUGAGCCUAGGUACGAUUAGCUAGUUGGUGAGGUAAAGGCUCACCAAGGCGACGAUCGUUAACUGGUCUGAGAGGAUGAUCAGUCACACUGGAACUGAGACACGGUCCAGACUCCUACGGGAGGCAGCAGUGGGGAAUAUUGGACAAUGGGCGAAAGCCUGAUCCAGCCAUGCCGCGUGUGUGAAGAAGGUCUUCGGAUUGUAAAGCACUUUAAGUUGGGAGGAAGGGCAGUAAGUUAAUACCUUGCUGUUUUGACGUUACCGACAGAAUAAGCACCGGCUAACUUCGUGCCAGCAGCCGCCGUAAAAC